UGUAUCUACCAAAUGAAAUUGUCGAUAUGGAUCAACGUUUUCAUAAGAAGACAGUCAUUUGUUAUGCAACUGAUCAUCUUCUUUCAUACUUAAAUUGACAAUUGGACAUGUCCAAUUAUGGAUGUAGGUACGUGGACAGUUCAAAUGAAGAGCUUGCAUUCAUUCGUUCAAAUUGAUACCUGGAUGCGGCUGCGCCACAGACAGCUCGAAUUAACGGCGAAUCCCAGCCCAAGGGAUAAAUGCAAACUCCAAUUGCCAUAGAUAUUGCUGGAACAAAGGAAACGCCAUUAGGUCUCUAUUAGGAAAUUCGCUUUGUACUCGAAUUGUCGUUUUCUUUCUAUCUUUAGAUCGUGAUUUAUUGAACAGGAACGUGAGGAACGUGGCUGGCAUUUCAGUGAACUAUCUUUGCGGAUGUUGUGCUAGAGGUCAACAGUGAAAGGUACGAAUCUUGCUUUUCCCGCGUUCAUUUUGCACGAAGCGAGACACCGAGGGAAACGAAAUAAGAGAUUAAAAAAAAAAAAAUACUUG